rnacentral:rRNA from 1 species
UUGAAAGGGAAACGAUUGAAGUCAGUCGUACCAGCGGGAAAUCAACCUUUCGAGUGGGGGUUUUGGAGUUUUUUGAAGAGUGUCAAAACCUUUGAGAUUUCAAAAUAUUCGCUCUUUUGGUGUACUUUCUCGUGGGUAGGUUAACAUCGAUUUUGAUCAUCAUAAAAAGAUUGGAGGAAUGUAGCUUCGAUCUUGUAUUGAAGUGUUAUAGCCUUUGGUAAAUGUGAUGAUUAGGAUCGAGGAUUGCAACGAAUACCCUUUUGGGCUAUCCGCCUGAUCUCUGAUACGUGGCCUUGGUAUCGAAAGCGUGCUUAUGGUUUUGAGGUAUUACGGUCAAAAGGUUAGAACGGAUUACAUUCGUUAAGGAUGUUGACGUA